CCCUUAGAUGUCCGGGGCUGCACGCGCGCUACACUGAAGGAAUCAGCGUGCUAAAACCAUUGUCGAAAGGCAUUGGUAAACCCAUUAAAAUCCUACGUGAUUGGGAUCGGGAAUUGCAAUUAUUUCCCUUGAACGAGGAAUUCCCAGUAAGUGUGGGUCAUAAGCUCGCGUUGAUUACGUCCCUGCCCUUUGUACACACCGCCCGUCGCUGCCCGGGACUGAGCCGUUUCGAGAAAAGCGGGGACUGCUGCUGUCGGGCUUUCGGGCCUUGGCUUCGGUGGAAACCGCUUUAAUCGCAGUGGCUUGAACCGGGCAAAAGUCGUAACA
rnacentral:rRNA from 1 species